AAAAAUUGACCUGGCAUGGUGGCGGGUGCCUGUAAUCCCAGCAGCUCAGGAGGCUGAGGCAGGAGAAUCGCUUGAACCCGGGAAGUAGAGGUUGCAGUGAGCCAAGAUCACGCCAUUGCACUCCAGCCUGGGCAACAAGAGCAAGACUCCGUCUCAAUAAAAAGAAAACACUAAAAUAAAAUGAUAGUAGAGGUUGUGUCUCUCCACAGGCACCAUCACAAGAUGUGAGCACCUGCUCCCCAGGUGAGCCCUGGGCAUCAUCAGAGGUUUUAACCUCUGUCACGCACUAGGUGCAAAAUGUUUCCCCAAUUGCAUUUGCAUUUCUUUAGUUACUCUGGAGGUUGUGCCUCUUUUCAAAUACUUACUGGCCUUGUGUGUUAUGUAUUUUCUGUGAUGGGUCUGCUCUCCUUAUAGAUGCAUUUGUUCACCUCUAGAUUGAUUGUUUUAAAUCUUGUUAGUUGUGGAAAAUUUGAAACAUACAAGAGCAGAGAAGAUGGUAUAGUGAGUCGCUGAGCCGGUUUUGAUGUGAGCCAGUCUUCAUAGCUCACCCACUCCCUGUAUCCACUCCACCAGUUUUUAAAGUAGAUCUCAGACAUCAGAGCAUUUCAUCCAUAUGUAUUUCCAUGUAUAUCUCUAAAAGAUAAGGACUCAACAACAACAAAAAAAUUAUUACACAUAAAAUUAUCAAUGAUCAUUCCUUUAUAUCAUCAGAUAUCCACUUAAUGUUCAGCUUGCCUUGAUUAGAGUGUGCUUGUUUCGACUAAGAUCGACAUCAGGUCCAUUCAUUGCAAAUAAUUGACAAGUCUUUUAAAAACAGCUUUAUUGCGAUAGUCAACAUAUUACACAAUUCACAGCGCAGGUUGAACUCACAGCCUUGUGCGCCCGUCCCUGUGCAUCAAUGAUUUUUUAAAAAUCAUAUUCAUAGGGCUGUGUAACCAUCACCACAAUCUAAUUUUGGAACAUUUUUUGUCCCCCUCUGCCCCCACUGCCCCGGAGAGAAACCCCAUACGCAUUAGCUGUCACUCUAAUCCCCUCCCUCCCACCAGGCCCCAGCCCCUCUGGCAACCACUAGUCUACUUUUGGCCAGACUCUGCUGAGACAUUAGAACAGGAUUUAUUUAUUUAUUUUAUUUUAUUUUAUUU
rnacentral:lncRNA from 1 species